GAUGAACGCUGGCGGCGUGCCUAAUACAUGCAAGUCGAGCGAAUGGAUUAAGAGCUUGCUCUUAUGAAGUUAGCGGCGGACGGGUGAGUAACACGUGGGUAACCUGCCCAUAAGACUGGGAUAACUCCGGGAAACCGGGGCUAAUACCGGAUAAUAUUUUGAACUGCAUGGUUCAAAAUUGAAAGGCGGCUUCGGCUGUCACUUAUGGAUGGACCCGCGUCGCAUUAGCUAGUUGGUGAGGUAACGGCUCACCAAGGCAACGAUGCGUAGCCGACCUGGGAGGGUGAUCGGCAACGCGGGGACUGAGACACGGCCCAGACUCCUACGGGAGGCAGCAGUAGGGAAUCUUCCGCAAUGGACGAAAGUCUGACGGAGCAACGCCGCGUGAGUGAUGAAGGCUUUCGGGUCGUAAAACUCUGUUGUUAGGGAAGAACAAGUGCUAGUUGAAUAAGCUGGCACCUUGACGGUACCUAACCAGAAAGCCACGGCUAACUACGUGCCAGCCGCCGCCGUAA
rnacentral:rRNA from 1 species